UGGAACCCAAUAGGGUUCUCCAAUGGGGACAGCCUUAGAACCCUUUUGGAAACCUCUUUACUAAGUUGUCUUCAACAACUACCCGCCUUCCCACCAAUCGAGCCUGUACUCGAUUGAACCGUAAUCACGGCAUUAUUUUCCAACAAGGUUUUAUAUGACACAGUUUGUGUGUGUGAGAAACAGAAAAACAGAGAGAGAAACCAUUAUAAAGGUUAUCGUUGCCAUGCACACCAAAUAUAUACAGCCUGCCUCAUUCUCUCUCUACAUUCAGACUACUGAGGCGAAGACAGAUUCAGGUUGGAUAUUCAACGGAUUAUUUGCCUGUAGUUUUCCUUACGUCCACCAAAGGCAGUUAGGGACCUUCAUCAUAGUGACAAAUCAAAAUGUUCUAAUUUCAAAAGCUCUUUAACACAUUACUCCUAAAACUUCUAAAAACUGGUUCUAACAUCUCGCACUAUUUAAAAUUAUUUAUUCAAAUGUUUGAAUUUCAAUAGCUCCUUGGUCAUGUGACCCUACUGACUUCAAACAAGGUUCAGAAUGUCCAAUGACUAUCCUUCUAUAUUGCACACCCUUUAGUUUGUCCCUUUUCAUCUCAUACGUUUCUGGUUCAUCCAUUCCAGCGCAUCCCUAAUGAGAUUACGAGGCAUUUGGCUACCUCAAGAGACUCUUAAUUAUGUCCCGCCGUUUACCCCCGCUUCAUUGAAUUUCCUCACUUUGACAUGAGGGGGUCACAGCCACCCCAAAGGUGGUUUGAGCGCGACCGCGAAGGGUAGCAUGUUCCAGUCAGAUAUAAUCAAAUUGACAUCCAUUCGAGUCACGCCCAGUGGUAUCAUCUGAGGCUUUUCUGUCUUACAAACUGGGCAGUUGCCCGCUACUAACCUUCAGCGGACUUUAACUGGAUUUUUACACCCAAUUGACAUCAAGUGCCAGUGCAAUACUUAUAGGCUUGAGAACCAAAUAUCCCUCGCUGUAUCUAGCGGCACCAUCGGCCGGAUGUUCGGAAGAAGUAACAGAAAAUAAUCCCCUUUUAAUAAUUUGCUUGCCUAGUCAGCCCUCCGGGACAGAGCCAUAGGAACCACCUUUACCAGCACUUUGACAUGAGGCAGUCACUGUCACCCCACGGGUGAUUUGAGUGCGACCGCGACAGGUGGGUACGCUCCUUUGAAUUUCAUCAAGUUGACAUUCUGUGAUCUGUGCCCAGUGGGAACCUAGACUUCUUCCGUCCAUUUUAUGGUUCCGCAGCAAAUCAAUGGGCGUGGAUGGUCCUACCCACAUCAGAUGUACGCCUCCCUCCCCAGACAAGCUGGAGAUACCUCUCCCCACUCCGUAGGUCAUGAGCCAGAUCCAUUCAAUGCCCUAUCACUGCGGGGCCAAUGGGUUUAGGCUCCGCCUCAAGUCUAGUGAGUGUAAAGGAGACCACCCCACCUACAAUGUGUGGGGCUGGCGAGCGCCGUAGCUGGGGAGAUCCACGAGAAGGGCCUGGCGCACGUCCAGAGUUGCCGCCACCAACCGCCGGACCUAACCCCUCACCAGUCCGCCUUCAAACCCCCGCACACAGUCCCUUGCGAGACCGCGGACGAGAGACCGCGAGAUGAGCCGCACAAAAAACUUCCAAUAGUGGCGAGAGGAGGGCAAUGGAGCGACUGCUCCCCAAGCCGCAGCUCGAGCCCAAUCCGACCGACCGAGCCCUUAGAGCCAAUCCUUAUCCCAAAGUUCCGUCUCUUUUUUUCCAACUUCCCUUACCUACAUUAUUAUAACAUGCCAGAGUCUGUUCGCCUUGGAGACCUGCUGCGGAUACGGGUACGGCCCGGUGUGAGAUUCACACCCUCUCCCCCAGAUUUUCAAGGGCCAGGGAUAGCUCACCAGACAAUAAAGAAACUGCAAUGCUUUCCAGGGCUUGGGCCCCUUUCCCGGGGCAAACCCAUUCCAGGGCGCCCUGCUCAUCACAAAGAAAAGAGAACUCUCCCAGGGGAUCGGUCGCGUUACCGCACUGGAUUCCUCGCCGCGCCCGUCUCCGCCAGUCCGUGGACAUUCUGAAAGUAGUUUAAGGUCAGUAGGUCACAUGACCAAGGAACUAUUGAAAUUUGAAAGUUAGAAAAAUUAAUGUAAAAUUGCGUGAGAUGAAAAUUAACAUACUAAAGGGUGUGCAAUAUAGAAGGGUAGUCAGUGGACAUUCUGAACUUCGUUUGAGUCCAGUAGGUGCCAUGACCAAGGAGCUAUUGAAAUUACAAAGUUUACAAAUUUAAUGGAAAAACGUGUGAAAUGAAAAUGGACAAACUAAUGGGUGUGCAAUAUAGAAGGGUAGUCAAUGGACAUUCGGAACCUUGUUUGAAGUCAGUAGGUGACAUGACCAAGGAGCUAUUGAAAUGUAAAAUUGAGAAACAUUUAUGUAAAAACGUGUGAGAUGAAAAUGGACAAACUAAAGGAUGUGCACUGUGUAGGCCCACUGAGUGUACAUUCUUAACCUUGUUUGGAGUCAGUAGGUCACAUGACCAAGGAGCUGUUGAAAUUUGAACGUUUGAAAUAUGAAUGUAAAAAUGGAUGAGAUGAAAAUGGACAAACUAAAGGUUGUGCAAUGUGUAGGCCCACUGAGUGUACAUUCAGAACCUUGUUUGAAGUCAGUAGGUCACAUGAGCAAGGAGCUAUUGAAAUUUGAAUGUAAAAAAAGUUAGUACUUUGUUUACGCUCCCUAACUAAUUCAACUCGGAAUCCAAAAUGCUGCUUACAUUUCCACGUUUCAUUAGCGUUGGAAAGUGGAUUAAUGUCCAAAUCGUGAAAAUUCGUAAUGUGCAGCAAACUGCUUUCAUUUAGAAAUUACAGUUUGUGGGUAGCCUGACAUAUACUUUAAAAACUUAAACAAGCCCUUUCCACCACCAAAACAAAUUCAGUCCUCAACCCUAUGUCAGAAUCUUAAGAUCCUUGUUUUGACAGCUGGGAUACUUGCAUUAUUCAUAUUGUUGGUGUGUUUGUGGCUUCUGUUUUUGCAUGAGCGCAGAGAGCUGACAUUAGAGAUGAGUAAUUCAUAGACUUGACUUCAGGCUUCCCCGGGGGAAUCCAGAGUAACAUCUUCAUUUCUAAAUCAGAGGAUUAUUAGAAACAGUACCCAGGAAACAAGCACACCUCGGUUGUAAACACAGACUUAUUGAACUAUGUUUAAUGCUGCCACACAGAGUAUUGUACAGCACAGUGGCAAGACAAAUCCCAUCAAAACAGGCCACGCAAUAGGAAAGCUGCAAGUAUCCCAUAGACCUUGAGGGAUUAUAUCAUAUCAGUAUAUACAGCUUUAUAAAAUGUACUUCAAACAUAAAUAUGUUAUAUUAAGAACGAUUCAUUAAAUUCAGAUAUUGGAUUGACUCAGUAUUCAAUGGUAGAAAGACAUAAGAGCCAGUAAUCUCUAAUAUCUAUCAGCCUGUUGUGGUAUUUAUCCAUUUUCUUCUUAAAUAAAAUAAAAAAGCGGGAAUUUAUGGUGGUAGUUAAGCUUUAUUAAUAACUUCCCUGGUGACUAAUUACCAGUCUGUGAUUGGAGGGCUGUUUGAAAGUCUGAAAUAGGGCUGUAGGUGAUAUUGUUCAUGCAUGUUUUAAAAAAUCUUUAGGCAAUUGCACAAAGUGGAAUAUUUACAAUGCCAAUGUUUACAAAGUCUGACAGAAGACCUAUAUUUCUAUAUUCUAACAUAUCCUAUUGCAAAGUUCUGUGUAUCAAAGCCAUGCUCCAAUCGUACCAAUUUUGUCUGAUAAACACUCCUAACACUCCCACUCCUCUCAUUAGACUACAAACACGAUUGUACUAAUGGACAAAUCUCAUCUCUGCACCAUGGUGGCUUUUUUCUUCUCUAAAGAAACCUGAGCUUCAUUUAAUUAACAAGACUUAACACUAAGGUAUUAGGCUAAUGGAUUGAUAUUAAAAUCAUGAAGAAUACUAAUGACAGUUAAGUACUUGACCUCAUUCUGUGGGAAUUUGUGUUCUCCUCCGCCUCGUGUUCUGUCAUGCUGGGAGCAUACACUAACCCACGGUGAACCCCCUCGUCACAGCAAGCUCACCAAACAUCCCAAAUUAAGGGGAUUAUGAUGGCGCAAAAAACUGAGGGGAGAGGAUCAGCGAUCAUUAGCUAUGUUACUGGGAGAGAGCCUGAGCCACACCUGUAUAAACUAAUUAUGUUGCUGAAAUGUUCUGCAAAAGUGGCUUUACCGUUUACUUGUGGGAGGAGGGCAGAGAGCCUAGGUGAUGGAGGAGCCAGAGAUGAGCGAUGUCAGAUACAUUAGGUCUGAAUGGGUGGAGGGCAGAGAGCCUAGGUGAUGGAGGAGCCAGAGAUGAGCGAUGUCAGAUACAUUAGGUCUGAAUGGGUGGAGGGCAGAGAGCCUAGGUGAUGGAGGAGCCAGAGAUGAGCGAUGUCAGAUACAUUAGGUCUGAAUGGGAGGAGGGCAGAGAGCCUAGGUGAUGGAGGAGCCAGAGAUGAGCGAUGUCAGAUACAUUAGGUCUGAAUGGGAGGAGGGCAGAGAGCCUAGGUGAUGGAGGAGCCAGAGAUGAGCGAUGUCAGAUACAUUAGGUCUGAAUGGGAGGAGGGCAGAGAGCCUAGGUGAUGGAGGAGCCAGAGAUGAGCGAUGUCAGAUACAUUAGGUCUGAAUGGGAGGAGGGCAGAGAGCCUCGGUGAUGGAGGAGCCAGAGAUGAGCGAUGUCAGAUACAUUAGGUCUGAAUGGGAGGGCAGAGAGCCUAGGUGAUGGAGGAGCCAGAGAUGAGCGAUGUCAGAUACAUUAGGUCUGAAUGGGAGGAGGGCAGAGAGCCUAGGUGAUGGAGGAGCCAGAGAUGAGCGAUGUCAGAUACAUUAGGUCUGAAUGGGAGGAGGGCAGAGAGCCUAGGUGAUGGAGGAGCCAGAGAUGAGCGAUGUCAGAUACAUUAGGUCUGAAUGGGAGGAGGGCAGAGAGCCUAGGUGAUGGAGGAGCCAGAGAUGAGCGAUGUCAGAUACAUUAGGUCUGAA